rnacentral:rRNA from 1 species
CGGGAAACCGGAGCUAAUACCGAUAAUAUUUCGAACCGCAUGGUUCGAUAGUGAAAGAUGGUUUUGCUAUCACUUAUAGAUGGACCCGCGCCGUAUUAGCUAGUUGGUAAGGUAACGGCUUACCAAGGCGACGAUACGUAGCCGACCUGAGAGGGUGAUCGGCCACACUGGAACUGAGACACGGUCCAGACUCCUACGGGAGGCAGCAGGC